AGGGAUUGCCCCAGUAACGGCGAGUGAAGCGGCAAUAGCUCAAAUUUGAAAUCUGGCCCUUUCAGGGUCCGAGUUGUAAUUUGCAGAGGGCGCUUUGGUGUCGGCAGCAGCCUAAGUUCCUUGGAACAGGUCAUCAUAGAGGGUGAGAAUCCCGUAUGUGGCUGCUUGUCUUCACCGUGUAAAGCCCCUUCGAUGAGUCGAGUUGUUUGGGAAUGCAGCUCUAAAUGGGAGGUAAAUUUCUUCUAAAGCUAAAUAUUGGCCAGAGACCGAUAGCGCACAAGUAGAGUGAUCGAAAGAUGAAAAGCACUUUGGAAAGAGAGUCAAAAAGCACGUGAAAUUGUUGAAAGGGAAGCGCUUGCAGCCAGACGUGCCCGUAGUUGCUCAUCCGGAGUUCUCUCCGGUGCACUCUUCUAUGGGCAGGCCAGCAUCAGUUCGGGCGGUUGGAGAAAGACCUGUGUCACGUAGCUCUCUUCGGGGAGUGUUAUAGGGCAGGUGGAAUGCAACCAGCCUGAACUGAGGUCCGCGCAUCUGCUAGGAUGCUGGCGUAAUGGCUGUAAGCGGCCCGUCUUGAAACACGGACCAAGGAGUCUAACAUCUAUGCGAGUGUUUGGGUGUCAAGCCCGAGCGCGUAAUGAAAGUGAACGGAGGUGGGAACCCCUCGGGGUGCACCAUCGACCGAUCCUGAUGUCUUCGGAUGGAUUUGAGUAAGAGCAUAGCUGUUGGGACCCGAAAGAUGGUGAACUAUGCCUGAAUAGGGUGAAGCCAGAGGAAACUCUGGUGGAGGCUCGCAGCGGUUCUGACGUGCAAAUCGAUCGUCAAAUUUGGGCAUAGGGGCGAAAGACUAAUCGAACUAU
rnacentral:rRNA from 1 species